AUGACCCGAGAGGCUUAACCUUACAACACCAAAGGUGUUUUUAGAGACUUGAAGUAGAUUUUCAGCUGAUUGUUCCGAGAUUGGUUCGUAUGGCGUAGUGUGUUGAGAAAUCAUGGCAUGAUGCGGUAUGGAUGAAACAGAAUUUGCCUGGCGGCAGUAGCGCGGUGGUCCCACCUGACCCCAUGCCGAACUCAGAAGUGAAACGCCGUAGCGCCGAUGGUAGUGUGGGGUCUCCCCAUGCGAGAGUAGGGAACUGCCAGGC
rnacentral:rRNA from 1 species